GACGAACGCUGGCGGCGUGCUUAACACAUGCAAGUCGAGCGAUGAAGCUCCUUCGGGAGUGGAUUAGCGGCGGACGUGUGAGUAACACGUGGGCAACCUGCCUUAUAGAGAGGAAUAGCCAUCCGAAAGGAUGAUUAAUACCUCAUAAUAUUGUAGCUUCGCAUGGUGCAACAAUCAAAGGAGCAAUCCACUAUAAGAUGGGCCCGCGGCGCAUUAGCUAGUUGGUGAGGUAACGGCUCACCAAGGCGACGAUGCGUAGCCGACCUGAGAGGGUGAUCGGCCACAUUGGGACUGAGACACGGCCCAGACUCCUACGGGAGGCAGCAGUGGGGAAUAUUGCACAAUGGGGGAAACCCUGAUGCAGCAACGCCGCGUGAGUGAUGACGGCCUUCGGGUUGUAAAGCUCUGUCUUCAGGGACGAUAAUGACGGUACCUGAGGAGGAAGCCACGGCUAACUACGUGCCAGCCGCCGCCGUAACAC
rnacentral:rRNA from 1 species